GUGGGGAAUUUUGGACAAUGGGCGCAAGCCUGAUCCAGCAAUGCAGCGUGCAGGAAGAAGGCCUUCGGGUUGUAAACUGCUUUUGUACGGAACGAAACGGUCCUGGUUAAUACCUGGGGCUAAUGACGGUACCGUAAGAAUAAGCACCGGCUAACUACGUGCCAGCAGCCGCGGUAAUACGUAGGGUGCGAGCGUUAAUCGGAAUUACUGGGCGUAAAGCGUGCGCAGGCGGUGCUGUAAGACAGGCGUGAAAUCCCCGGGCUCAACCUGGGAAUUGCGCUUGUGACUGCAGUGCUGGAGUACGGCAGAGGGGGAUGGAAUUCCGCGUGUAGCAGUGAAAUGCGUAGAUAUGCGGAGGAACACCGAUGGCGAAGGCAGUCCCCUGGGCCUGUACUGACGCUCAUGCACGAAAGCGUGGGGAGCAAACAGGAUUAGAAACCCCUGUAGUCC
rnacentral:rRNA from 1 species